rnacentral:rRNA from 1 species
CAAUAGCGUAUAUUAAAGUUGUUGCAGUUAAAAAGCUCGUAGUUGGAUUUCUGGGAGGGUGCCGCCGUCCGGCGUGUCCGUGUGCAGUGGCGCCCUUCCAUCCUUCUGUUAGCGUCUCUUGGCAUUCAUUUGCUGGUGGCGGGCUCAGAUAUUUUACCUUGAGAAAAUUAGAGUGUUUCAGGCAGGCUAGGCCGGAAUACAUUAGCAUGGAAUAAUGGAAUAGGACUACGGUCUCUUUGUUGGUUUGAGGGACUGCAGUAAUGAUUAAUAGGGAUAGUUGGGGGCAUUUGUAUUUAAUUGUCAGAGGUGGAAUUCUCAGAUUUGUUAAAGACUAACUUAUGCGAAAGCAUUUGCCAAGGAUGUUUNCAUUA